GCCUGGGUGGCUCAGUUGGUUAAGUGUCUGACUUCAGUUCAGGUCACAACCUCACGGUUCGUGGGUUCAAGCCCCGUGUCAGGCU
rfam:Felis catus isolate Cinnamon breed Abyssinian chromosome E2, whole genome shotgun sequence.